UACGUAGGGGGCAAGCGUUGUCCGGAAUCAUUGGGCGUGAAGCGCGUGUAGGCGGCUUGGUAAGUCUGCUCUGAAAGCCCGGGGCUCAACCCCGGGAGGCGGGUGGAUACUGUCAAGCUCGAGUCCGGAAGAGGAGUGUGGAAUUCCUGGUGUAGCGGUGAAAUGCGUAGAUAUCGAGAGGAGCACCUGCGGCGAAGGCGGGUUGCUGGGCUGACACUGACGCUGAUGCGCGAAAGCCAGGGGAGCGAACGGG
rnacentral:rRNA from 1 species